GAUGAAGAACGUAGCGAAAUGCGAUAAGUAAUGCGAAUUGCAGAAUUUCCGUGAGUCAUCGAAUCUUUGAACGCACAUUGCGCCCACUGGUAUUCCGGUGGGCAUGCCUGUUCGAGCGUCAUUAUCCUCCCUCAAACCUCGGGUUUGGUGUUGGACCCAAGUUGUGUGAACAACUGGUCUUAAAGACAAUGACGGCGUCCGUGGGACCCUCGGUGCAACGAGCUUUUAGGAGCACGCGUCGAGUUUCAAGGACCUUCCGGGCCGGUCUCCUUUACCAUUUUACAAGGUUGACCUCGGAUCAGGUAGGAAUACCCGCUGAACUUAAGCAUAUCAAUAAGCGGAGG
rnacentral:misc_RNA from 1 species